rnacentral:tRNA from 1 species
GGGGCGGUAGCUCAGUCGGUUAGAGCAGAGGACUCAUAAUCCUUGAGCACCCCGCUCUGACCAGGGCGGAUGGGCACUUGACACACCAAAAGACACAUUAUCGGGAUUCCCCCGUUCCC